AUGAAAAGCAAACAAAAGAACACAAAAGUACACCGGAGAAGGCCUUGGGCCGCCGGCAAAGUGCGCCGCCACUCCGGCCGCGCCUGUUCCUCUCGAUCCCCACACGCAUCGGCAAGCCGAGGUGCGGGAACGAAGAACCAACCCCACACGGGGCAAAGAGCACCACCACCAAGCCGUUUGAUGGCGGCGCGUUCACCCUCGAGGUGCUCGCGCACGCCGGCAAAGGGGUCAGCGGGGGCGCCGCAUCGGAAGGCCGCGACACCUCUCUGCUCUCUCUCGCGCGCAUACAGGAGGUUAGUGGAUGGGUGA
rnacentral:rRNA from 1 species